GUGACUAGAUCAAAUUGUGAAGGAAUUGUUCUCGACUCCACAAACUAAAACAAAAUCAUUUUUUAUUCUCUAUAUUUUUGAAAAUUGGGUUGAAAUGACACAUGGUAUAUGAAUUGAAGUACAUAGAGCAGAGAAAAGGAAUGAUAGAGAAGAAUGGUGGCUUAUACUAGAUGAAUUGGUGUUCAUAUGGUGAAGAAGAAAUAAAAAGAGAGGC
rnacentral:lncRNA from 1 species